rnacentral:lncRNA from 1 species
UGGACCCAGUGUAGACAGGAGGAGACUCUGCACCACCUCCACCUGGACCCAGUGUAGACAGGACCUCUCGGGUUCAGGGGUGUGUCCUGCGCCCUCGUUACAGAACGAUUCAACCCUCCCAGCAAUGUCACCGUACGUUGCAACACGACGCACUGCCUCGUACGGUGGAAACAGCCCAGGACCUAUCAGAAGCUGUCGUACCUGGACUUUCAGUACCAGCUGGACGUCCACAGAAAGAAUACCCAGCCUGGCACGGAAAACCUACUGGUAAGUGAAACCACAGACCCUACUGACAACCCUCAGCGUAACCCUACGGUCCCCUACUCACCACACCUAGUGUAACUCUACAGUCCCCUACUCAUGACCCCUACAGUCCCCUACCGACGACC